GCAACAGAUGGCCCAUCACAAACAUUUUUAGCAAUAAAAUGCAUUGCAUUUAUCAUUCCAACAGAUGGCACAUCACAAACAUUUUUAGUAAUAAAAUACAUUGCAUUUAUCAUUCCAACAGAUGGCCCAUCACAAACAUUUUUAGUAAUAAAAUGCAUUGCAUUUAUCAUUCCAACAGAUGGCACAUCACAAACAUUUGUAUUAAUAAAAUGCAUUGCGUUUGUCAUUCCAACACAUGGCACAUCACAAACAUGUGUAUUAAUAAAAUGCAUUGCGUUUGUCAUUCCAACACAUGGCACAUCACAAACAUUUGUAUUAAUAAAAUGCAUUGCGUUUGUCAUUCCAACAGAUAGCACAAACAUUUGUGUUAAUAAAAUGCAUUGUGUUUGUCAUUCCAACAGAUGGCACAUCACAUACAUUUGUAUUAAUAAAAUGCAUUGCGUUUGUCAUUCCAACAGAUGGCACAUCACAAACAUUUGUAUUAAUAAAAUGCAUUGCGUUUGUCAUUCCAACAGAUGGCACAUCACAAACAUAUGUAUUAAUAAAAUGCAUUACGUUUGUCAUUCCAACAGAUGGCACAUCACAAACAUAUGCAUUAAUAAAUU